rnacentral:rRNA from 1 species
ACUCCUACGGGAGGCAGCAGUGGGGAAUAUUGCACAAUGGGGGAAACCCUGAUGCAGCCAUGCCGCGUGUGUGAAGAAGGCCUUCGGGUUGUAAAGCACUUUCAGUAGGGAGGAAGGUAGUGUAGUUAACACCUGCAUUAUUUGACGUUACCUACAGAAGAAGCACCGGCUAACUCCGUGCCAGCAGCCGCGGUAAUACGGAGGGUGCGAGCGUUAAUCGGAAUUACUGGGCGUAAAGCGCAUGCAGGCGGCCUGUUAAGUCAGAUGUGAAAGCCCGGGGCUUAACCUCGGAAUUGCAUUUGAAACUGGCAGGCUAGAGUCUUGUAGAGGGGGGUAGAAUUUCAGGUGUAGCGGUGAAAUGCGUAGAGAUCUGAAGGAAUACCAGUGGCGAAGGCGGCCCCCUGGACAAAGACUGACGCUCAGAUGCGAAAGCGUGGGGAGCAAACAGGAUUAGAUACCCUGGUAGGACAGAG